rnacentral:rRNA from 1 species
AGUGAACGCUGGCGGUAGGCCUAACACAUGCAAGUCGAACGGCAGCACAGUAAGAGCUUGCUCUUACGGGUGGCGAGUGGCGGACGGGUGAGGAAUACAUCGGAAUCUACUUUUUCGUGGGGGAUAACGUAGGGAAACUUACGCUAAUACCGCAUACGACCUACGGGUGAAAGCAGGGGAUCUUCGGACCUUGCGCGACUGAAUUAGCCGAUGUCGGAUUAGCUAGUUGGCUGGGUAAAGGCCCACCAAGGCGACGAUCCGUAGCUGGUCUGAGAGGAUGAUCAGCCACACUGGAACUGAGACACGGUCCAGACUCCUACGGGAGGCAGCAGUGGGGAAUAUUGGACAAUGGGCGCAAGCCUGAUCCAGCCAUACCGCGUGGGUGAAGAAGGCCUUCGGGUUGUAAAGCCCUUUUGUUGGGAAAGAAAAGCAGCAGGUUAAUACCCCGCUGUUCUGACGGUACCCAAAGAAUAAGCACCGGCUAACUUCGUG